CUAAUGGUGUCUUUAGAUACCACCCUCUAUAUUAAAAAAAAAUGUU
rfam:Picea glauca, whole genome shotgun sequence.